AUUGAACGCUGGCGGCAGGCCUAACACAUGCAAGUCGAGCGGAUGAAGGGAGCUUGCUCCUGGAUUCAGCGGCGGACGGGUGAGUAAUGCCUAGGAAUCUGCCUGGUAGUGGGGGAUAACGUCCGGAAACGGGCGCUAAUACCGCAUACGUCCUGAGGGAGAAAGUGGGGGAUCUUCGGACCUCACGCUAUCAGAUGAGCCUAGGUCGGAUUAGCUAGUUGGUGGGGUAAAGGCCUACCAAGGCGACGAUCCGUAACUGGUCUGAGAGGAUGAUCAGUCAACCUGGAACUGAGACACGGUCCAGGCUCCUAGGGGAGGCAGCAGUGGGGAAUAUUGGACAAUGGGGGAAAGCCUGAUCCAGCCAUGCCGGGUGGGUGAAGAAGGUCUUCGGAUUGUAAAGCACUUUAAGUUGGGAGGAAGGGCAGUAAGUUAAUACCUUGCUUUUUUGACGUUACCAACAAAAUAAGCACCGGCUAACUUCGU
rnacentral:rRNA from 1 species